AAUGGUUGGGCUUUCUUGAUCUAAGAAAAGGGUUAUUAAGAUACUUCACAAUGUCAAUGGAAUCAUAAAACCAUCCAGCUUUUGGUGACUGUUAAAGAGUUUGGGAUGUAUGGGAAAUGGGAAAUGGGAGAUGAGCUUGGGAACUCCACUCGGAUUAAUGAGCAGUGCUUGAAGCUUUAAAAGAAUAUCAAAGAUGAUGUUUCCAAAAUGAAGGUAGGUAUGAUGGUGGCUGCUUUCCUAAAUCUUGUAUUCAUCUUGUGAAGCAUGUUUUCAGGCUAAUUUGGCCUGCAUUUGCUUUCCUUUCAUCAUUAAUACCUUAAUGAUUUCAUGGAGGAAGAGUUAAGCUACACUCUAUACUGGCAACCCUUUCUGAAUUUGAACAUGCUGAGAAGGGUGAUGCUUUGUAUGGUAAGUAGCCUUUUUUACAUGCUUUGCAGAGUAUAUUUGUGCAUUGUUCAUGUUAAGAAUUGUAGAACACCUAAAAACCUAAU